UGAAGUUAACUGGUACCUUUACCAUGCUUCUGGAAAUAAAAUAAGAAGGGUUUGCUUAACAGAAUGUCACUCCUGCACCAAGACACCCUGCGCGCACACACACACACACACACACAUUCCACAUUGACAGAGUUAUUCCUUUUCAUAGACACUGCUUGACCUCUCGAGUUCCUCCAGCAUUUCGUGUGCGUUAAUUCUUCCCCCACACAGCGGGCUGAAAAUAUUCAUUCAAACAAUAUGCUGGCUGGCAUCCCAGAAUUACCGAGCCCUCGGUGAUAACUCUAGCACCUCAGACUCGGCUCUGUGCUUUCAAAUGACUGGCCUGCAUCAGCAGCAGCCAUUCACACAAAGCACUUUUUAUCCCGAGUACCUUUGCUUGAUUCAAUACAGAGGCUUUAUCAAUAACUAGACAGUGAGAGAGAAGAACCCAGCGCAAUCUACAAUACCUCUUAAAGUGGGCCCCUGGGUCAGUGCAGUGGGACCCAUCAUUGAUUAACCAAUUUACUAGUAAUGGAGCAGGCCAUUCCCAUACCAGAGGAGCUUUGGAAUAAGUUAAUGGACUUCCUGUGCAUCACAGAUUUUUUUUUUUGCUUUGGUCGGUUACUACAGAUAUGAUGAAAACGUUUUGAUCCCUUUACAAAGUGGAAGGAGGGGGGAGGCCGAAAUGCAGACACCACAUAAAGCGCACACAUGUUCAUAAACUGUAGGUUGCCGAAGUCAACUGGGAGUACAGCGAGUCUGGACCGGUGCCAGCUCGAUUGUGGCUGAACUUCCUCAGACAUGAAUCAGUCAGCGAUGAAAGAGAGAGACCGGAGUUAUGAUCCCAAAUUAACUUCUACACACACACACACACACACAACCAAGAUAUCUGCGCCUUACAUCACAAGUCCCGAGAAUAAUGGCGUCACUCACUCAACUGGGAAUUGGUUGGACUUUAAUUAAGAAACUUGCAAUGGACUAUUUAGUCUCAACAAGAGACAGCAAUUUGAAUCGAAUGUGUUGAUUUCCAAUCAAGUGAAGAUUUCUCUGCCCCACAGGAAUCUGAGAUUCAAGCACUGAUUAUCCCAGAUUAUCUAUUUGUUUCAAAAUAGUGUUUAACGUUCUCCGGCUUUGCUGGUGAGAUGGGCGGGUCUUCUUGCUUUGAAAUUUUUUAUAUAAAAAAAAGAAACUUCGCAUUUGUUAAUCGUGACCUUGGAAAAAUAUUUCACGCCCGAUGAAGUCCCAAACUUUGAAGCGCCUGCCCCGCAGUAAGCUCCCACAACAUGAGAAGAGGGCGGCGCGGCACGGGGUGGGGGGUCUUCUGCAGAUCGGUCCUAAUUCAGCGAGCAGACACGGCCACGGUGUAUCACUGGAUCUGUGUGACCCCUGCGGACUCUAAGUUAUCAGGCAAGAUCCGAGGAUCGCACCUCCAGAGGUGCGAAUCCACAACCUCCAACCCUCAAGAGAAACCACAGCACCACGAGCGUGACCCAAAAUUCACCAUAAAUUUGAUGUCCAACAUUUUUUUGAACCCACCGCACAUUAUUUUUAUUACAGAUCGGCACCACGUACAUCUUCAGCUAGACAACCCGAGGGUCAACAUCCACAAAGCCUGCAGGCUAUGAGGUCACCUGCGACAAAAAUCAGUUCAUCAGCAGCAAACGAAAUAACAUUCACUUCAGCCAGAGCGGAGGGACCCCGCGUCCUUUGAUUUUCGCACCCCUGAACUCUGAGCACGGCUGAAAUAACCAGCAUCCAAUGGUGCCCGUGAUAAAGCCAGUAAAAGCCUACAUCUCGCCUCACGUCUCGGAGGGUUAUUGAUGGUGCGUCAUGGGGCAGGAGGAGGAGAAUCCUGCAAUCCCACACGACCAGGUUGAAGAGCAGAAUCAGAAUCUGCUUCGACACCAUCGGCGUACGUCGCGAGAUUCGUUAACCUUGCGACUGCAGAGCAACGCCAUACAGAGUCACAGAAAGACCCUGAACUACACUGAGAAUUGGAUGGCAGAGGGGAAGAAGCUG